rnacentral:rRNA from 1 species
GUCCUUAACUGACGCUAAUGCUCGAAAGUGCGGGUAUCGAACAGGAUUAGAUACCCUGGUAGUCCGCACGGUAAACGAUGGAUGCCCGCUGUUGGCGAUACAAUGUCAGCGGCCAAGCGAAAGCGUUAAGCAUCCCACCUGGGGAGUACGCCGGCAACGGUGAAACUCAAAGGAAUUGACGGGGGCCCGCACAAGCGGAGGAACAUGUGGUUUAAUUCGAUGAUACGCGAGGAACCUUACCCGGGCUUGAACUGCAGGAGAACGAUUCAGAGAUGAUGAGGUCCUUCGGGACUCCUGUGGAGGUGCUGCAUGGUUGUCGUCAGCUCGUGCCGUGAGGUGUCGGCUUAAGUGCCAUAACGAGCGCAACCCCUUUCUUCAGUUGCCAUCAGGUUAUGCUGGGCACUCUGGAGACACUGCCACCGUAAGGUGUGAGGAAGGUGGGGAUGACGUCAAAUCAGCACGGCCCUUACGUCCGGGGCUACACACGUGUUACAAUGGGUGGUACAGAGAGCGGGCUGCCUGCAAAGUCAGCCGAAUCAUGAAAGCCAUCCUCAGUUCGGAUUGGGGUCUGCAACCCGACCCCAUGAAGCUGGAUCGCUA